UAUCUCACAUAUCUAAGAAGAGGGCCAUACUUAACAUUUCUUGGCUGUUAUUUUGAAGAUCUAGAGGAUUCCUAAGGCAGUCAAGCCAAAACAUAGAUGAUCUGAAAAGCUGCAGAUUAAAAGAACCAUGCCACUUACUACGACUGCAGAUGGAGAUCAAAGAAAUCCUCUACCAGACCCAUGGGUUUACAGAAGCCUAUCAAUCACUCUGUCAGUCUUCCGGGUCGUUAUUCAAGUCGCUAUCCCCAAUUUUGCUGGAUAUAUCAGAUCAGCUCCAGCUCCAUAGAUGGAUAGUGUGUUUUCUUCCUAUUUUUAAAGAACGCAAAGUAGAAAACUGGUGAAUAUUAUAAGAACACACCGAAAAGUGCAUUGUUACUAUGGCAAUAAAAAAGAGAACAAAUGUCCAAAUUC